AACGCGAAGAACCUUACCUGGGCUCGAAGCGCAGUGGAAUCCGGUGGAAACAUCGGCGCCCCUUAAAAGGCUGCUGCGGAGGUGCUGCAUGGCUGUCGUCAGCUCGUGUCGUGAGAUGUUGGGUUAAGUCCCGCAACGAGCGCAACCCUUAUCCCCAGUUGCCAUCAUUAAGUUGGGCACUCUGGUGAAACCGCCUCGGAUAACGGGGAGGAAGGUGGGGAUGACGUCAAGUCCUCAUGGCCUUUAUGUCCAGGGCUACACACGUGCUACAAUGGCCGGUACAAACCGUCGCAAACCCGUGAGGGGGAGCUAAUCGGAAAAAGCCGGCCUCAGUUCGGAUUACAGUCUGCAACUCGACUGUAUGAAGCUGGAAUCGCUAGUAAUCGCGGAUCAGAAUGCCGCGGUGAAUACGUUCCCGGGCCUUGUACACACCGGUACUA
rnacentral:rRNA from 1 species